rnacentral:rRNA from 1 species
GAUGAACGCUGGCGGCGUGCCUAAUACAUGCAAGUCGAGCGAACGGACGAGAAGCUUGCUUUUCUGAUGUUAGCGGCGGACGGGUGAGUAACACGUGGAUAACCUACCUAUAAGACUGGGAUAACUUCGGGAAACCGGAGCUAAUACCGGAUAAUAUUUUGAACCGCAUGGUUCAAAAGUGAAAGACGGUCUUGCUGUCACUUAUGGAUGGAUCCGCGCUGCAUUAGCUAGUUGGUAAGGUAACGGCUUACCAAGGCAACGAUGCAUAGCCGACCUGAGAGGGUGAUCGGCCACACUGGAACUGAGACACGGUCCAGACUCCUACGGGAGGCAGCAGUAGGGAAUCUUCCGCAAUGGGCGAAAGCCUGACGGAGCAACGCCGCGUGAGUGAUGAAGGUCUUCGGAUCGUAAAACUCUGUUAUUAGGGAAGAACAUAUGUGUAAGUAACUGUGCACAUCUUGACGGUACCUAAUCAGAAAGCCACGGCUAACUACGUG